rnacentral:lncRNA from 1 species
UCAAAAGUAGAUAAGAAGUAUAUGAUACACCUGUACAAUAAUUAUUAGAAACUGCAUAUUAGCUGCUUUAGCACAGAUGUUCCUGAUGGUGGCAUUUACUUUUUUUAUUCCUUCCAGGUGGAGAAUUUAUUGGUUGUUGAUGUUAAUCUCUGACUCUUUUCCUUCUCUUCCAUGUUGGCUCCAGAAAUCAGGAUGUAAACCUUAGUUGAAGGUGGCUAAAAUCCCAGGUAGCAGUUGAAGUUGUGUUCCUCUUACCUGCCUGGAUCAUCUCUGAAUCAAAUCCCAGCUGUUGCCUUUCCUUUCCUUUAUGUCAUGACAGAUUUGAGUGUCCUCAGAGCUGAUGAUGAUCUACACUGGAAGUGACUUUCCCAGGUUUUCAACUGAAACCCAGAUGAGGAGUGAUAAUGCUUUAAUUGGGAGAUCUAAUAAUUAUUUCAGUUUUUGUUGUUGUUUGUUUUUAGUUUUUUUGUUGCUGUUUGUUUUUUGGAGUUGUUUUGCUUUAUUAUUUUUUCUGUCUGUAUGCUACACUAGCUUUGAUUUAGACAUACAUAUUAAUUUUCAAUGUCUGUUUUUUGAUGGCUUUAAUCUUCUAUCUACCUGCUAGACUAGUCUGAUCACACCAUACUUUCUGUUAAUCUUUUGCUUUAUAAUCCAACAAAGUUAGCUGCUGGUGUGAAGCAUGCAUUUUUUUUUUCCUUUUCUCAGUGAUUUUCCAGGAAGUCUUGCUAGUAUAAAUGGUCAAGAACUACAUAAAUCCUAUAUAAAUACUGGAGGACUACAAGGCAUAGCUUAGAAGAAAAGUGCAGUUCAGGGAAUGGGUCACUGAACAACCACGGAAUGAUUUCUGGGCUAUCUUCUCAGUGUUACCACUGGCUUUUUUGGGCACCUCUUCUCAUCUUGCCUAACAUUUAAUUUCCUGAUCACCUCUUACCUAUUGAUCUGGCAACCAUUUUAAGGCUCUUUUGGACAGAAUUUUUUCUUUUGGUAGGCACUGAACAAAGAGAGGAUCUUCUGACUUUGUCUUGUAUCACAGACUUGUUUAGUUCCUAGCAUAAUGCCAAUCUGUGUAUUACAGGAAUCUCUCUUUCUGUAAUAAAUAUAGUAAAAUUAACUUCA